rnacentral:snRNA from 1 species
GUGCUGGCUCCAGCAGCAGAGAUUCCGCAAUUGGAGCAAUUCAGAGAAGAGCAGCCUGGCCUCUACACAAGAAUGAUCCACAUAUCCUGAAGUGUGCAUGUUUAAA